UAGCAGCACGUAAAUAUUGGAGUUAAGACUAAGUGAAGCCUCCAGUAUUGAUCGUGCUGCUGAA
rnacentral:pre_miRNA from 1 species